rnacentral:rRNA from 1 species
AGGGUUUGAUCAUGGGCUCAGAUUGAACGCUGGCGGCAUGCUUUACACAUGCAAGUCGAACGGUAACGCGGGUGCUUGCACCUGGCGACGAGUGGCGAACGGGUGAGUAGAACAUCGGAACGUAUCCUUGAGUGGGGGAUAGCCCGGCGAAAGCCGGAUUAAUACCGCAUGAUCUCUGAGGAGCAAAGCGGGGGACUCGAAAGGGCCUCGCGCUGUUGGAGCGGCCGAUGCCGGAUUAGCUUGUUGGUGGGGUAAAGGCUCACCAAGGCCACGAUCCGUAGCUGGUCUGAGAGGAUGAUCAGCCACACUGGAACUGAGACACGGUCCAGACUCCUACGGGAGGCAGCAGUGGGGAAUUUUGGACAAUGGGGGCAACCCUGAUCCAGCCAUGCCGCGUGCGGGAAGAAGGCCUUCGGGUUGUAAACCGCUUUCGUACGGGACGAAAUGGUGCAGGUGAAUUAGCCUGUAUUGAUGACGGUACCGUUAAGAAGAAGCACCGGCUAACUACGUGCCAGCAGCCGCGGUUAAUACGUAGGGUGCGAGCGUUAAUCG